AAAGAGAAGGCCAAGACACGCACGUGAAUGGACAGAGAACAGAACAGAGGGCAGUGUUUCCACAUCGACGCCUAGAGAAAGUGUGUCUUCCUGAAAGGAUUAGGGUAGGCUUUUGGAAGAAGGUGGCAAUUAGAAGUGGCCUUGAAUGACGGAAAGGAUUCUGAUGGGAGGAGCGGCUGGGGGCUGUCCAGGCAGGAGAAGGAGAGGCGGCGUGGUGCGUAUCUGGAGAGCCCAAGCAGUCUGACGUCGGAGCAGAGGCUAAGAGCUGGGGAGCUGUGCAGCUGAGAGAGAUUAGCCCUGAGCUAACAUCUGCUGCCAAUCCUCCUCUUUUUGCUGAGGAAGCCUGGCCCUGAGCUAACAUCCGUGCCCGUCUUCCUCUACUUUAUAUGUGGGACGCCUGCCACAGCAUGGCUUGCCAAGCGGUGCCAUGUCCGCACCUAGUAUCCGAACUGACAAACCUGGGGCCGCUGAAGCGGAACGUGUGAAUUUAACCGCUGUGCCACCAGGCUGGCCCCUCUUGGUUUCAUUUUUAAUGUCAACACUACUGCCCAGGACGUGGGAGUCUAGAAUUGAACCAUUUAGCAGAAACAGGAUAAUGGAAGGAUUAUUCAUUAGUGCUUCACUCCUACAACUAACCAUAACGAAGAUGAAUGGCUUUACCGUUGCAAAGGACUUCCCAUGUUCAUGUCCUUUAGCCAUCACAACUCUGUGGGAGGAAGUUUUAUUUUUUUUCUUUGAAUGGGGAGAUGAGUAAAUAGAGGUUAAGUGCGUGACUUACUUUCAUGAAGCUGGUAAGGGCAUAACCAGCAUAGCAAAGAUCAGAAAGAAGGUUUCUGACCCCAGGCCUGGGCUUGUUUUAUGACCUUCACCCCCGCCCUGAUGGAGACCUUCUCGUAUGGACCAUUUUAUGAUGCUAUAUCAGCGAGGAACUAUAUUUGACUGACAGUCAGAGAGAUCCCAAGAAUAAAGACUCCAAGCCUUUAUUCUUUGACAAAGAAAAAGGUCUGAGAGGGAAACAGCCUGGGGUUGUACGCAGCUUCACAAAAUCAUCAGAGACUUGGCUUCCUGUGACUAUGACCUUCAUUUUCUUCGUCCAAGAUGGUUGCUGGAGCUCUCGCCAUCACAGAUUUCAUAUUGCAACCAACCUUUAAGAAACUACUACUUGUCAAGUUUCGGUGCAAUAUCAAAGAAGAAUGUUCACAAUUAUUUGAAAAAGCUGUUCACAUACUUCUCCCUUUCCGACCACUUAUCUGUAUGAGCUGGAUUUUCUGUAUACACUUCAACUCAAAGAACGUAUCCCAACAGACUGAUGCAGAAGCAUAUAUGAGAAUAUUAUUUCCCUUCAGCUGAACAUUAAAGAGAUUUACAAAAAUGGAAAAUGAUGCCAC
rnacentral:lncRNA from 1 species